GGUGAGGUCACAACAUAGGAAAGUUGCUUGGUGUAUAAUUAGUGUGGGGAGCACAGCGGGGUGGAUUACAAUGCACAGACAAAUUCUAAUCCAUAGCCUGUAAUUUGAGGGUUGGGUCAAUCAUAAUUUGGGUGCAAGCACACCUACUUCCUUUUUUAAUAAGGGAGAAUUUAGCUCUUGUUACCCACAAGAGUUCUCAAAGUAGAAAAUAAUAAACCAUGUUCUUGAAGCCAGUACUGAAUUAUCAAAGCUGAAGGAAAGGAAGCUAAAGAAAGAUUAGGCAACUUGGGGUACAAAUGGGUUCAAAAUCCUCUCCAUCAGUAUGCCAAGUCUCUGGAUACCAGUGACUUAUUUGCCCUAGGGUGAGAGAAAACUCCAUUUUCCAUCAAGCUAGAGAAGCAGCCUUCGUUUUUCAGCCAUGGAUAAGGCCACUUAUUAGGAGGACAACAAGAAGUGAAAUCUCAGGAGGAUGCUUACCAGGAAUCAGGAAACUGGAAAAACAAUGGCCUGCUGGAACAGAUCUCCAAGCCCUAGAGGACCACAGGUGAAUGUCACCUGUAAGCCUCCGCUCAUUCUCGCCAAUGUAAUUCUGCAAAAGGCCACAUCUAAACUACUGAAAUGCAUCAAGUAAUUUUCAAAGGCCUACAGACUCUGCUAUGCUUCAGUAGCUGUCCUAUCAAAAUUAACCCUGAAGGGUGUCACUUCUGA